rnacentral:rRNA from 1 species
ACAGCAGUCGCCGCGGGAAUACAGAGGGUGCGAGCGUUAAUCGGAUUUACUGGGCGUAAAGCGUGCGUAGGCGGCUUUUUAAGUCGGAUGUGAAAUCCCUGAGCUUAACUUAGGAAUUGCAUUCGAUACUGGGAAGCUAGAGUAUGGGAGAGGAUGGUAGAAUUCCAGGUGUAGCGGUGAAAUGCGUAGAGAUCUGGAGGAAUACCGAUGGCGAAGGCAGCCAUCUGGCCUAAUACUGACGCUGAGGUACGAAAGCAUGGGGAGCAAACAGGAUUAGAUACCCCAGUAGUCCCUGUCUCUUAUAA